AGGCCACUGUUGUUUACAUUGUAGCCGCGGCAACGGGCGAUGGAUGAUGGCUUCACACGUGGGGUGAUGCUGCCUUUAAAAAGAGCUGUGAAGGAGCGGCAUUCGGCAAAUACAGCCAGCAGGACAGUAAGAGCCAGGAGACGCGAGGGCGUCCUUGGUUACCUAACACGUCUGCAGGCUGUUGUCCCGACAACGGGUGGACGCAGCGCACAGGCGCCCCGCUGAUUACAGCAAGGUCUGGACAACGGGAUGACGUCAUCGCCAAGCGCCCCCGCACGCCAGGACGCCGGACACCCGCCCGGAGCUCAGGUGAAUGGUGAUCACACAGGUAUUUAGGAGGGACCACAUGUUGUGAAGGAGAGUAGCAGAGGCAUCGCCACAUUUUGGACAAAAUCCCGUUUCUUCAGGAGCAAAGUGAUGUCUCUGACCUUGGGAUAUAUAUGCCCUAUAGAUCAUCCUAAUGUGUGUUUCUUGUAAUGAAGAUGAGCGAAGAAUGCGAAGUGUUUUGUCAAAAUAUUGAAAUAAAAUAUUAGAUUGCAUUAAUAAAGGAAAAUCUGA